GUCCUCCCUGAAUUAGCAAAGGUCAGGACUAGACUCUCUCUCUCUCUAAGGAGCAUUCUCAGAUAUGGCGGAGGGGUUGACGGCUGGAGAUUGGUUCGGGUCUGCUAUUAUUCGUAGGUUGGUCGACGACGCCCGCUCCAUUGAAGAGGCGGGCCAUUUCGAUUCAAAGAUUCAGUUUAUGCUGCGUGAACUACAAUCUACCCUUGGAGGCAUCCAAGGUUGGAUCAAUGAUGCUGAGAGAGGGCUGACAAGCGACCCUGCCCAGUCCGUAUUGCUGAGGCAACUCAGAGAAGCUUUCUAUGAGGCGGACGACUUGCUGGACGAAUUUCAUUUCAGAACCCUUUCCAAGAAGGUGUGGCACAUUCCAUCCUCUUCUAUGUUAGUUUUGUUCUGUGAUGUGUGGGGCAUUCCAUCCUCUUUUAUGGAUUUCAAGAAUUUAGUUUCGUUCCUUCGUGGCCGUCAAAACUUAAAGAAUCUUGUGGGAGAACUUAAAAGAAUUUCUGAUCAUGCCAAGCAUAAUUACGUGUCAGUUGACCACGGUAGAGAGCGGAUAGUCAGGCCCGAGACGGCGUCCUUUCUUUUAACGUCCGACAUUAUCGGGCGUGAAGAGGAGAAAGAAGAGAUAGUAAGGGUAUUGUUGAGUUCUGAUGGUUGGUACAAGGGAGGGGCUGGGAGUCGCCGUGGUCGUGACAUCGAUGUCCUUCCAUUAGUAGGCAUUGGGGGGGUUGGCAAAACAACUCUUGCACAACUUGUUUACAAUGACGAGAGACUGGCGGAACAUUUCUUCAUAAGAGCCUGGUGUUAUGUGUCUGCUGAUUUUGACAUCCGAAGGAUUUUAAAGCGCCUGUUGUGCUUCCUGUCAAAUGAUCUCUCCGAUACUAUUUCUGAUAUGGAACCCAUUAUUAUGAAACUUAAGAAGGCUAUGUCAGGCAAGAGAUUUUUUGUUGUCUUUGAUGAUGUGUGGGAUGAGUCACCUGCCCAUUGGGAAAUGCUGCGCGGCAUCUUAACAUGCGGUGAAGAAGGGAGCAAGGUUUUGGUGACAACUCGAAGUGCAAAAGUUGCUCAUAUUAUGGGCACUAUGAGCCCUAUAAUGGUAGGAGGUCUAUCAGAGUAUGAGUUCCGGGCCCUUCUUCAGUGUUCAGCAUUUGGUUAUGGGAAUCGAGACCUUGAGGAAAGCAAGAAAUUGGAGCCUAUUGGUGUGCAAAUAUACAGAGAGCUUGGAGGUCUGCCAUUAGCAGCCAAAGUGCUAGGGUUUCUAUUACGAACCAACGUGGAUGAGCAUAUCUGGAGAGCAAUCUCGGAAGGUGAAUUGUGGGAGCGUGAUUUUUUUCAAAGAGAGCUCUUGUCAACUCUCAAGUUGAGCUAUCAACACCUAAAUGCUAAUUUGAGACAAUGCUUUUCUUACUGUUCCAUUUUCCCUCGGGGAUACAUGUUCGAGAAACAUAAAUUAGUCCAGAUGUGGGUAGCACAGGGUUACAUUAAACUAGAUGACCGAAGGGAAAUGAUACUGGAGGAUAUUGGGAGCCAAUGGUUUGAUGAACUAAUGCAGAGGUUUUUCUUUCAACCUGCAGAGGAAAACAGAUAUGUAAUGCAUGGAUUGAUGCACGAUUUGGCAGUAUAUAUCUCGUCGGGUGAUUGCUCUGUAGUUGAAGAUGAGUCACGAAAUAUUCUACGAAAGGUUCGCCACUUGCGUGUUAGGACUGAUAAAUUGGAAGUGCUUACAGAAAUGAUAAAAAUUAAAAACUUGCGUACCCUUUUGUUCUUUGGCGAUUGUGAUUCACAUGAAUUUUCUAAGGUUCUUGAAGGCAUGUUCAUAUAUCUGAAAGACCUGCGUGUGCUGGACCUAUCUUCAACUCCCAUAGAAAAGUUACCAGAUUCUUUCGGUGGCUUAUUGCAUCUCCGGUACCUAGACAUUUCUAACACCAAAAUCAGACUGCUUCCAACAUCUUUUUCUAGGCUUUUCCAUCUGCAAGUGCUGAAUUUGCAAGGAUGCCACUUUCAGGAGUUACCGAAAGGCAUGAACAAAUUAAUCAACCUGCGAUAUUUGUAUGGCGAUUCUGAAAUUGUUUCUCUAAUAGAGGGGAUUGGAGAACUAACUAAUCUCCAUUACAUAGAGGAAUUUCCUGUCAGACAGAAGAGGGGGCAUGGAAUAGGAGAGUUAGAAAACUUGAUGAAUCUUCGAAGGAUUUCAAUUAAGAAUCUUGAGAAUGUCAAAACUAAGGAGGAGGCCAAGAAGGCUAAGUUGAAGAAUAAAAGGAACCUCAAGGCAUUGCAGUUAGAAUGGAGUUCUCCAACAAGAAACCGGCUUGAUGUGGAGGAAGAUGUACUUGAAGGGCUCGAACCACCCCCCAACCUUAAAGAGCUAAGCAUUACAGGCUAUGAUGGCAUUGCACUGCCUGGAUGUCUACAAAGCUUCACCUCUCUGACUCUCUUAAUGGUAUCUCAUUACCACCACAAAACAUCUAUUAGUUUGUCCGACCUCAAAGCACUUGAGAAAUUGCACCUUGAAGACUGCCCAGAGCUGAGCAUACCAGGUGGGCUUCACUCUCUUGCUAACCUGAAGAAACUACAUAUUGAAGGAUGUCCCAUGUUGAAUGAGUCCUCACUGCCUAAGCAACCGGAUAUGGAGAAGGGCUUGCAAUCUCUCACUGAUCUCUGCAUAGAUGACAGUAUCCUACUUAAUGAUGGAUGGGUUCUUUUAGGAAGCCUCUCUUCACUUAAGAUUUUGAAUUUCCAGCACUUCAACCAUCUUGGUUACUUUAGCAAGGAGCAGGAGUUGUGGUUUCAUCAACUAACAUCCAUCCAAGAGCUGGGGAUAUCCAACUGUCGCAGUCUGGGGCACCUGCCUGCUGACCUGUCUACGCUUUUAUCCCUCAAGAAACUGAGUAUAACAAACUGUCCCAAGAUUAUGUCACUUCCAGAGAAUGGCUUGCCUAUUUCACUCGAAGACUUGCAGAUCUCAGGAUGCCCAGAAUUGGAAGAGCGGUGCUCAGAGGGUGGACCUGAUUGGAUAAAGAUUGCUCGCAUUCCUCGUGUACGUGUCACAGCUGCUGUGACAAUGAAAACCUGACACUAUACAACUACUCCGAUGCUUUUGGAGUUUCUUCGUGUUGUUCCAAUAUCAGCGCACGUCACUGGCCACAAUUGUCAGGGCUUUGUUGGAAAUUUGGAAGGAGAGGAAUUUGAGAAUUCUCACUGAAGACUUUGCUUGCUUGUUUUCGGGCUCGAGCUCCAUGGAGGCUGUUUGUCCUUUUGGUAAGGUGCCUAUCUGAGACCCAAGGAGAAAGUUGUGUUUCUUACUGGGGUUUUUGAUCCCAACACAAUGCAGGUAGGAGGACAAGUGUUGGCUAUUUAGGGUCGCCUGGGUCCGGUGCUGCGUUUUUUUCCUUUUUUUUUUUUUUUGGUUGUAAAAAGGAGAGAUUGCAUCUGUUGUGUUGUAAUUGGUUAGGCUUGUCCAGUAGCUCACUCGUCAAAAAGGGUUACUGCUUUAUUUUCUUUUGCCUUUCCUAAAUGAAACCGGAGUAUUCUUUAUCAAUGCUCUAGAGUGUGGGUGCCAUGAAUUUCAA